GGCUUCAAAGCUCACUUGGUAGAGCAUCGCACUUGUACAACGAAGGUCAUGGGUUCAAAUCCCACUGAAGCCA
rnacentral:tRNA from 1 species